rnacentral:rRNA from 1 species
UACAGAGGGUGCGAGCGUUAAUCGGAAUUACUGGGCGUAAAGCGUGCGUAGACGGUUAUCUAAGUCGGGUGUGAAAGCCCCGGGCUCAACCUGGGAAUUGCAUUCGAGACUGAAUAGCUAGGGUACGGUAGAGGGAAGUGGAAUUUCCGGUGUAGCGGUGAAAUGCGUAGAUAUCGGGAGGAACACCAGUGGCGAAGGCGACUACCUGGCCUGUUCUUGACGCUGAGGCGCGAAAGCUAGGGGAGCAAACGGG